UACGUAGGGGGCUAGCGUUGUCCGGAAUCAUUGGGCGUAAAGCACGUGUAGGCGGUUCGGUAAGUCCGCUGUGAAAGUCGGGGGCUCAACCCUCGGAUGCCGGUGGAUACUGUCGAGCUUGAGUACGGAAGAGGCGAGUGGAAUUCCUGGUGUAGCGGUGAAAUGCGCAGAUAUCAGGAGGAACACCAAUUGCGAAGGCAGCUCACUGGGACGUUACUGACGCUGAGACGCGAAAGCGUGGGGAGCAAACAGG
rnacentral:rRNA from 1 species